rnacentral:lncRNA from 1 species
UUUAUUCAGAAAUGGCAACCGUCGGCAUGGGACGGAGGUUGCAACGGCUCAAAUGGACUACAGUUUGUGAAAGUUGGAAAAGUUCCUCGAAAAAGUUUGGUUUUCAGUGUUCACUUUCCAUGCCUCUAGCAAUUAAAGUGAUUUAGAAACAACAUGAAAAACUCAAAAUUUUUUGUUUCGUUAAACAGAUUAACGUCACGUGAUGUUGGCCAAUGGCGACUUGCAAGUUUUGUCUGCGCAUCAAGGCGACGAGAAUCAUUUGUAUCAUUGUCGAGUUCUCGUCCAGCCCAUCAGGCAAACAAUGACCAGUUUCACUGCUGGACGAAUCAUCCUCAGUCAAGAAACCAGGACAAAGAUGGCACAAGUCAUUGUAGAAACUGUGAAUCGAAUUCGAAGUUUGGCGUGGACGAGAUUCCGUUUUACCUUGUGUUUUUCAUGGAUAUCUUCCGCAUAAAAUCAAAUGGUACAAAAGUCUAACGAUUCAGUAUGGCAAUUUGUUGUUGCCACUGGUGACAUCAGCUGCCACGCAAGAGCAUCGUGAUGGAGUGCUGGGACUUGGGCGUCAUCGCCUCAUUGGUGGCACUUUACUCAUCGCUUCCGUCGUCACCGAAGAUCAGGGCCGUUACAUUUGAUUCGUCAACAGUUCCAUUGGAUUAGUCGAAUCACGUACCGAACUCAUUUUUCGUGUCAAAUUACAAGUCAGAAUCGUUGAACGUCGUCGUCGCCGCAUAGAAUGCACAGCACAUUUAAGUCACCGAUCCAGAAACGUCCGUCACCAUCACGUGUCAUUUCUCCGGCCGGUUGUCAGUUGGCUCAAAGAUGGCCAGCGCUUCUUGGUGGGUAAUAGUGGUCGUGUUUCUUCUUCAUCCGGCGACGACGGCUACACCGAUAUGGUCCAGUUAUCCAUUUCGUCCGUCCAACGUGAAGAUGAGGGAAUAUACCAAUGCCUGGCAUCCAAUGACGAAGGAGAUUGGGCCCAAGCAUCGGCCCAGCUGGCCAUUGGAGCAUUUCCUCCUCAUUUGAAAGAAACGUUCAGUCGGCAAGUUGUACAUCCGGGAAGUUCAGUCUCGUUGAAAUGUUUAGCCUCUGGCACUCCGCUGCCUCAUUUCACUUGGACGCUGGACGGGUUUCCGUUAUCGCCCGUUUCCGAACGAUAUUUCCUCGGCCAGCAGCAACAAACGGGUCACGACGAUCUUGUAGUGGCUCAUCUCAACAUAACCCACGUCCGAGUCGAAGACGGAGGCAAUUACAAAUGUGUAGCGGAGAAUCGAGUGGGUCGCGUAGAGCAUUCAGCCAAUUUGCAUAUUUACUUCAAUUCAAUGGCAGUUUGACGAUCGAUCCGUUGGAUAAGAGCAGCGACGCCGGUCUUUAUAGUUGCGAGGUGCAUGGCCAGAACGGACUCUCGGCUCGCCAGUCACUUCAACUCAACAUCCUCGGAAAUGAAGCCAUUGUGCAUAUUGCAUCAACCAAGGGCGAAAUGUUACCACAUAUAGGCCAAUGUUACAACUCACUUAUGGUGAUUGUCCAUUCACAUGAAGUCUGUAUGUUGGUACAGUUUAUCAACAGGCAUAAGAGGAUGUUCAGGCAAUAAUUGUGGGAUAGUUUAGGUAGAUUCUUUGCUGCGUCAUAGCUCGGGAGUCGUAACGGGCAAUAUCCUUGUGCAUUAAGUUGGUGAACUCUUGUGUUCCAUUGGGAAAAUAUUUCAAAUUGAUUUAUUUGCAUGUUACGGAGUUUGGUUUUUUUUCUGAUCUGUGGAGCCUGACAUUUUCCACAAUUUCUAUCGGCGGACAAAAUGUCUUUUAGGAUUGGUAGCAGCUUACAAAGCAGUAGGUUCCAACAUCAUCUAACGUCUGCUUUAGUAAUGGCAGGGAUGUGAAUGAUAAUUUGUGAAAUCAAACAACUUAAGCAGGUGCCUAGCUCAACAACUCCUAUGAAAUCUAGAUUGGUGGUGGUAGUUCUAGGGCGCCUGUUCAGGCAACAGUUUCGUUUUUUAAUCCGCCAAGGAUUUAUGCGUUAUUGCGUCUACUGUGUAGCCUGAGUAGCAUACGCAAGGGGGCGUUUAUCUACAUUCCUGAUCACCAAGCAGUUACAAAUAUGUUCUACACUGAUAAGCAUCCGAGGCAAAGGGCGAGCUGAACUAGUCUAUUGCCCCUCAACUCCAGAGGGCACUAGUUUACAGCAACUCGGGCUCACCCUUUGGAGAGUGGAUUCUCAUUUCUUCUUCAUACCAGCGAGCAGAUUUGAGGUUUAAAAUUGUUUUAGGUUGUUAAGCAAGUCUGACUUUCUACGAUGUACAUGGCCGCCAAACUUUGUCGUUAUGUCUCACUGUUAAUCAGUAAGAAAAACGUCGAAUUAUUGACGAUACGUUUGUCAAAAUGGCAAAUACAACGCCUAACGAUUUAAAUCUAACUUGGGAUAAUCUACUUCUCGGACAAGGUACUUUGAGACCGGAUCUAAUUGAGUCCGCUUUCCAUAUGGCUUCUUCGCGCACGGUUGCCAUGAAGACUCGUCAUAACGAUUCCGAAAUGGUUCGUCAAUUUUGCAUUCACGGCCGUGUAGUAGAACCUAUUAAAGACUUCCUUAAAGAUGAAGUAAGAGCCUUAGGUCGUGAGCUGGGUUUGCCCGCACAAUUACUGGAACGUUACCCGUUUCCUGGUCCCGGCUUGUCAAUUUGAAUCAUUUACGCCGAAGAGCCCUUCUUGGAAGCUAAUUUCGAUGAGACGCAAGUGAUGAUUCGUUCGAUGGUCCAUUAUGCCAACAUAGCAGCCAAGGAACAUGCCUUGCUCAAUCGGAUUGAAAUCGUGACGUCGGAAGAAGAACGUCUUAUUCUGGGAGAACUGUCUAGUCGCAACCAGUAUGUUGCCACGCUACUGCCUAUUCGCACUGUCGGUGUUCAGGUACAGGAGGUUGCAGAAAAAUGUGUCGGGUAUGGCAAACAAAGCAUAGGGAAAACCGCCACAUUUUUCUGCAAUAUACUGUACAACAGAUUCGCAAUUUAGACGUUGUCGUAAUAAUGCCGCGAUCGUAAUCAGCUCUUAUUCAAGGUAGAUGAUAGGUGCCACCGUAUCUACGCCAAGGUUUUUUUUUCUCUUGUCUAGAUCUUUUAAUGGCCAGUGGGUCCUUGUGAUCAUGGCCAAUGGCUUGAGCCGGAUACCAACGACUAUGGCACCUGUCGCCCUUCGCCUUGCCCAGUAAGCAAAUGCAACGGUCGCCAGAUCUACUGGAAGUCAACACUAAAUUCUGAAGGUGGCUGUUAUAAAUCGUUCACACGUGGGCCUUGCAGGCGAAGUAGCUAUUUCCUCGUUGAAGAAUAUGGCACUCGAAGAGGUCGAUGUGUUUCUCAAUUUGGAUCAUCCUAUGAAUCCUAUGUCCUUCCGUCACGCUAUCCCAGGAUGAGAAACCCUUACGACAUCAUGUACUCCAACAACGCGAUGAGCCCAUGAUCGAAAUUUGGCAUGUAUCCGCCGUUUGGCAUGCAGGAAGAAUAGCGGAGACGACUAUCCUGACAUUCCCAGUUUCGAUUACUGAACUAGAAACAGUUUUACAGAACCAUUCACAUGGUUUUGUCUCUAUUAUUUCAUUUUAAAAAUGUGAUUGCAAAUUUUCUAUUGUGACGUAUGGCGGAUAAAAAACAACCUUGAUUAGUUUUAA